rnacentral:misc_RNA from 1 species
GAUGAAGAACGUAGCGAAAUGCGAUACGUAAUGUGAAUUGCAGAUUUCAGUGAAUCAUCGAAUCUUUGAACGCACAUUGCGCCCGCCAGUAUUCUGGCGGGCAUGCCUGUCCGAGCGUCAUUUCAACCAUCAAGCGCCUCGCUUGUGUUGGGGCCCUGCGGCUGCCGCAGGCCCCUAAAUCCAGUGGCGGGCUCGUCGUCGUACCGAGUGCAGUAAACAUCCUCGCUCAGGGAACCCGACGGGUGCCGGCCGUGAAACCCCCCCUCCUCAAGGUUGACCUCGGAUCAGGUAGGAAUACCCGCUGAACUUAAGCAUAUCAAUAAGCGGAGGA